UACGGAGGAUUCGAGCGUUAUCCGGAUUUAUUGGGUUUAAAGGGUGCGUAGGCGGUUUUUUAAGUCAGCGGUGAAAGGUAUACGCUUAACGUAUAAAGUGCCGUUGAUACUGGAAGACUUGAGUACAGAUGAAGUUGGCGGAAUGUGGCAAGUAGCGGUGAAAUGCAUAGAUAUGCCACAGAACACCGAUAGCGAAGGCAGCUGACUAAGUUGUAACUGACGCUGAGGCACGAAGGUGCGGGGAUCGAACAGG
rnacentral:rRNA from 1 species